rnacentral:rRNA from 1 species
GGAGUGAUUCAUGACUGGGGUGAAGUCGUAACAAGGUAGCCGUAGGGGAACCUGCGGCUGGAUCACCUCCUUA